AAAAGUUACUGAGUUUUUAAUCUAAAAAAUAAACCAGGUGGUGUGGUGGCAUGAAUUUGUAAUCUGAGCUACUUGAAAAUUGGAAGAAAGAGGCUUAUGAUCUGAAGCUAAAGCAUGAGACCAUAUCUG